rnacentral:lncRNA from 10 species
CGACGGCAGCAUUUGACUGCUAGGACACUGUCUUGUGACCCACUUUACUCACUGCUCCUUACUUCUCAGUUAUAAGCAGUAAUUAGUAAUGUCAGUGUUCCUGUUCUGGCUGGAUUGCUCCUGGCUGGAUUGCUCCAGGCCCAUUAAUGAUACAAGAGCAGGAACAGAUGAAUGCAAAAAGUCUGCUGACCCCUGGUAUGGAUGUUUACAGAAAAAGUCUGCUGAACCUCAGUAUGGAUGCUGACCCCCCGGUAUGGACCUCCACUGUACUGAGGUACCAAAAUGUACUGAAAUUGUUCCCUGCUGAUGGGUAUUGCAUUGGAUUUCCUUAAGAAUAAAAUUAAACUCCUUUAAUGCUAAGAAGCUCCAAGACAUUUGAGGAAGGAAAGAGCAGGAACUAGCUAGGAAGAAGCCGGCAUGAAGAAGCCAAGCUUAAAGAGGGAACUUCAGAGCAAGCUACAACCUCCCCAAGUGUCAAUUCCUCUUUUUAGAGGAAGUAAGAAGGGAACUGUAGGUCUUUUGAUAAGAGGAAAUUCCCCUUUGCUAUAUCAAAGCUGCUCCCUGUGCUUGUGUUGUUCUAAAGUUAGGCAAGACUGCCUGAAGCAUACUGUGACCAAAUUAGGAAGCAAGAAGGCUGAUGUCUCUAAAGCUGGUCACCCAUGGCCAGGCAGCCCAGGCAUGCAAAGACAGAGAUGGACGCGGGUAGAGACUCUCUGGCCAACAAGGAGAUGCUAUUUGCUUAAGAAAUCAGCCUUAAAAAUGACACAACGAAAAUUAAUAACUGUUCUAUAAGAUGGAAUUCACUUGCUGUUGUUGACCAAAAAAACAAAGGCUUCCAACAUUUCCACAAGCAAAGAACAUGAGAGAAGCACAGUGAGACGAAUGCUCCCAGGCAUCAUGGGUUUAUUCCAAAGGCAGUAA